rnacentral:misc_RNA from 1 species
GAUGAAGAACGCAGUGAAAUGCGAUAAGUAAUGUGAAUUGCAGAAUUCAGUGAAUCAUCGAGUUUUUGAACGCAUAUUGCGCCCUCUGGUAUUCCGGGGGGCAUGCCUGUUCGAGCGUCAUUAAAUAACCCUCAAGCAUAGCUUGGUGUUGGGCUUUUUUACGUCCUUGACUGGGAUGGGCCUAAAAAUUAGUGGCGAUGGCUUUUUUACUUUCAAGCGUAGUAAAUCUCGUCUUGCUAAAGAGGAAAAAGAUUUUUUUUCUGCCAAAAAUUUUAACAUUUAAAGUUGACCUCGGAUCAGGUAGGAUUACCCGCUGAACUUAAGCAUAUCAAUAAGCGGAGGA